AUCUACAGCCAUACUACCCUGAACACACAUGAUCUUGGAAGCUAAGCAGGGUCAGGCCUGGUUAGUACUGGAUGGGAAACUGAGCCUACCCUAACUGUUGAAU
rnacentral:rRNA from 1 species